rnacentral:rRNA from 1 species
GUUUCUGCUAUAAGGACAAACAGCUACAGUAAAACUAAGCGCUCUAACCUCGGCAUCAACUAACUUUGGGAAACUAAGGCUAAAAGCUGAGGAUGAGGCUUAGCACUAUCAGCUAGUAGGUAGUGUAAUGGACUACCUAGGCGGUGACGGUUAACGGGAUACGAGAGUGUGAUACCGGAGAGGGAGCCUGAGAAACAGCUCCUACAUCCAAGGAUGGCAGCAGGCGCGAAAAUUGUCCACUCUUUGCAGGAGACAGUUAUGAAAAGUAAAAAAGGUAGGUCUUGUAAAGAAAGAUUCUAAAAUUGGAGGGCAAGUUUGGUGCCAGCAUCCGCGG